rnacentral:lncRNA from 13 species
GCCCUGGAAGAAAAGCAGUGACUUAGAUGGUGCCUGAAGCCUCUGAAGGACCUCCUGGAUGUGCUGUGACCUUCCUUACCCUGAUGAAUACCAGAGGAACCCGGCAGACAGCCUAGGCAGGAUGUGGGGUUCUCUGAGCUCAGCCAUCCAGUGGCAGAACUUUGAGCUGGAAUGGGAGCAGCUGGGGCUGAGAACAAGUUCCUGGGGGGCACAGUAAGUAAAUGAAGCCAUGAAAAAUGAGCAUUUUGGGGAGGCCGAGGGAAAGAAGAAGUUUUCCAGGCAGUAGAAAAUGACUGGGCACAUCUUCAAAGUGGGAAGUGAAGCAUCAAACCCAGGCUGGCUAAGUCCUUUAAGGUCCUGAGCACUGACAGGAUCACAGUGGUGCUCAGUCCCACCCUGUGUAGCUCAAAAUCAAGUUUAUUCUCCACAGUGACACUAAGCUUCCUUGCCAGUUGAAGUUAAAAGAGCCUCUUUCUAGUUUCUGGAUUGCAAUCUCACGGGUAAGUGCACAGAUGCAGGACUGUCUCAUUUUUGAUGCCAUGCUGCAUUAGCACCUGAGGCAUGGGCUCCCUCUGCCUCUCAGGUCAUGUAUGGGCACCCAGGGUGAAUGAUGAGCGGGGUGGGUGGGGAUAGGGGGCCUGAAAAGAACUUGCCGGCACUCCUACAGCACCUGUGAUUCAGAGCACCCUGAGCCAAGGGAGCACCCUGGCCUGGAGCUGCUCUCUCAGCAGGGAGGAAGGAGAAGCUUUGGCCCAGACUGGAAACUCCAAAUCCUUGCUGGAAGGCCUGUAGUGAGUGGGUGGCCUGUCUCACCCUCUGCACACCCCGCCCUAUUUAUUGAGAUUUCUGUGCAGCCUGAACUCUUGUAGGGAGGUGUUAUCUUCUGGACCAGAGCCCUGUCUGCAAUGAAGCCACUGUGGUGUCCUAAGGGCUUCUAAGAGAGCCCCGGCUGGAGAUGGAGACCAGAAGAUUUGAAGAGAACACUCAAAGUGUGGCCUGUGGAGCAACAGCUUCAGCCACAGCUGGGAGCUGGUUAGAAGUGGAACAUCUCAGGCCCCACCCCAGAACCUCAGAGUCAGCACCUCUGGAGGUAGGACCCAGGAAUCUGUGUUUCACAAGCCCUCUUCUAUGCUUAGAAAAGUUUGAAACUCACUGCUUUACUCUACUUCUCAACAAAAAGAUGACACUCAGUUUGGCUAGAAUGAAAAGGGGUGAGUGUUUCCUGGCAGGUUUUAGAAACCUAUUUAAAUGGUUCUGUUGCCCAUUCAUCCAUUCAUUGACCCAUCUGUCCAUCCAUCCAUCCAUCCACCUGCUUUUCAUUCAGCAGACAUUCAGCUACACCCGGAAGUUGAAAGGGGAAGGCUCAGGACCCCGGGAUUCUUCAGCUUGCCAUGAGCACUGCUGUGUGGCAGAGGAGAUAGCCGCCGUCCCCUUUAUCCUCCAAGUGUACCCAUGGUCUUCAGGUCAGUCACUUGCUUGA